rnacentral:rRNA from 1 species
CAAAGGAAUUGACGGGGAGCACCACAACGGGUGGAGCUUGCGGUUUAAUUGGAUUCAACGCCGGAAAUCUUACCGGGACCGACAGCAAUAUGAAGGCCAGGCUGAAGACUUUGCCGGAUUAGCUGAGAGGUGGUGCAUGGCCGUCGUCAGUUCGUACUGUGAAGCAUCCUGUUAAGUCAGGCAACGAGCGAGACCCACGCCCACAGUUGCCAGCGUACUCUCCGGAGUGACGGGUACGCUGUGGGACCGCCGCUGCUAAAGCGGAGGAAGGAAUGGGCAACGGUAGGUCAGUAUGCCCCGAAUAUCUCGGGCUACACGCGAGCUACAAUGGUUGGUACAAUGGGUAUCUACCCCGAAAGGGGACGGGAAUCUCCUAAAACCAAUCUUAGUUCGGAUUGAGGGCUGCAACUCGCCCUCAUGAAGCUGGAAUCCGUAGUAAUCGCGUUUCAACAGAACGCGGUGAAUACGUCCCUGCUCCUU